rnacentral:rRNA from 1 species
AGAUUGAACGCUAGCGGGAUGCUUUACACAUGCAAGUCGAACGGCAGCGCGGACUUCGGUCUGGCGGCGAGUGGCGAACGGGUGAGUAAUAUAUCGGAACGUGCCCAGUAGCGGGGGAUAACUACGCGAAAGCGUGGCUAAUACCGCAUACGCCCUACAGGGGAAAGGGGGGGAUCGCAAGACCUCUCACUAUUGGAGCGGCCGAUAUCAGAUUAGCUAGUUGGUGAGGUAAAGGCUCACCAAGGCGACGAUCUGUAGCUGGUUUGAGAGGACGACCAGCCACACUGGGACUGAGACACGGCCCAGACUCUACGGGAGCAGCAGUGGGAAUUUGGACAAGUGGGGGAAACCUGAUCCAGCCA